rnacentral:siRNA from 1 species
AUUUUGAGUGGUACCCAAUUAAC